rnacentral:rRNA from 1 species
AACGAACGCUGGCUGCAUGCCUAACACAUGCAAGUCGAACGAGACCUUCGGGUCUAGUGGCGCACGGGUGCGUAACGCGUGGGAAUUUGCCCUUGGGUUCGGAAUAACUUCGGGAAACUGAAGCUAAUACCGGAUGAUGACGUAAGUCCAAAGAUUUAUCGCCCAAGGAUGAGCCCGCGUAGGAUUAGCUAGUUGGUGGGGUAAAGGCCCACCAAGGCGACGAUCCUUAGCUGGUCUGAGAGGAUGAUCAGCCACACUGGGACUGAGACACGGCCCAGACUCCUACGGGCGGCAGCAGUAGGGAAUAUUGGACAAUGGGCGAAAGCCUGAUCCAGCAAUGCCGCGUGAGUGAUGAAGGCCUUAGGGUUGUAAAGCUCUUUUACCCGGGAUGAUAAUGACAGUACCGGGAGAAUAAGCUCCGGCUAACUCCGUGCCAGCCGCCGCGGUAAGAC